rnacentral:rRNA from 1 species
GACGAACGCUGGCGGCGUGCUUAACACAUGCAAGUCGAACGGAAAGGCCCUGCUUUUGUGGGGUGCUCGAGUGGCGAACGGGUGAGUAACACGUGAGUAACCUGCCCUUGACUUUGGGAUAACUUCAGGAAACUGGGGCUAAUACCGGAUAGGAGCUCCUGCUGCAUGGUGGGGGUUGGAAAGUUUCGGCGGUUGGGGAUGGACUCGCGGCUUAUCAGCUUGUUGGUGGGGUAGUGGCUUACCAAGGCUGUGACGGGUAGCCGGCCUGAGAGGGUGACCGGCCACAUUGGGACUGAGAUACGGCCCAGACUCCUACGGGAGGCAGCAGUGGGGAAUAUUGCACAAUGGGCGGAAGCCUGAUGCAGCAACGCCGCGUGCGGGAUGACGGCCUUCGGGUUGUAAACCGCUUUCGCCUGCGACGAAGCGUGAGUGACGGUAAUGGGUAAAGAAGCACCGGCUAACUACGUG